AAGACCUGUCUCAGUUCGGAUUGGAGUCUGCAACUCGACUCCAUGAAGCUGGAUUCGCUAGUAAUCGCGCAUCAGCCAUGGCGCGGUGAAUACGUUCCCGGGCCUUGUACACACCGCCCGUCAAGCCAUGGAAGCCGGGAGUGCCUGAAGUGUGCAACCGCAAGGAGCGCCCUAAGGUAAAACUGGUGACUGGGGCUAAGUCGUAACAAGGUAAC
rnacentral:rRNA from 1 species